rnacentral:rRNA from 1 species
UACGAAGGGGGCUAGCGUUGCUCGGAAUUACUGGGCGUAAAGGGCGCGUAGGCGGCACUGUUAGUCAGGCGUGAAAUUCCUGGGCUCAACCUGGGGACUGCGCUUGAUACGGCAGAGCUAGAGGAUGGAAGAGGCUCGCGGAAUUCCCAGUGUAGAGGUGAAAUUCGUAGAUAUUGGGAAGAACACCGGUGGCGAAGGCGGCGAGCUGGUCCGUUACUGACGCUGAGGCGCGACAGCGUGGGGAGCAAACAGG